UGGUGCCCGUCACGUGCCCGGAAUCACCUGACUUGGAGCCGUGGAGGGGGGAGGAGGAGUCACGAGGAGGGUGGCCCGGCCGGCCGAGCCCUCUGCCCUCCGCCCUAGCGAGCACCUCGGUCCUGCCCUGCCACGCGCCUUGCUCCUCGCCGCUCCCCUGCCUUUUUGGGAGCUCUGGAGGCCAUCGCAACGGGAGAUGCUCUCUGGGCAUUUGGGGGAAGAACUGAUUGUGCUCCUACAAUGGUACUCGCCCAACCAGUAUUUACUGAUGCCCGCGAUGCCCUGGGGGGACAAGGGAUACCAAACUGGAUCGGACUCGGACCCUGCCUGCCCUCAAGUUGCUGGGAGAUUUAAUAGAGAUCGGAUCUCUGCAAAUGAUGAAGAGGACCUCCAGAGGCCAGGUGGACUCUGAACUCUUGAAUAGCACUGACUGGUACAGCAGUUUAAACAGGUCAGUUCCCUCUUAAAAGUGUGAUUAUCCAACCCACUAGUUGCCAUUCUGUCCAAAAGGAUGGUACAAGAGACAGUAACCUGACUUUCAUAAACGCUAAUAGUAGUCCCAUAGUAGAAAAGCAAAUGAGGGUUGGCUGCCAGAAAAAA